rnacentral:rRNA from 1 species
UACGUAGGGUGCGAGCGUUGUCCGGAAUUAUUGGGCGUAAAGGGCUCGUAGGCGGUCUGUCGCGUCGGGAGUGAAAACUCAGGGCUUAACCCUGAGCCUGCUUCCGAUACGGGCAGACUAAAGGUAUGCAGGGGAGAACGGAAUUCCUGGUGUAGCGGUGAAAUGCGCAGAUAUCGGGAGGAACACCGGUGGCGAAGGCGGUUCUCUGGGCCUUACCUGACGCUGAGGAGCGAAAGCGUGGGGAGCGAACAGG